rnacentral:rRNA from 1 species
ACUCCUACGGGAGGCAGCAGUGAGGAAUUUUGCGCAAUGGCCGCAAGGCUGACGCAGCAACGCCGCGUGGGUGAUGAAGGCCUUCGGGUCGUAAAGCCCUGUCAGGUGGGAAGAAAGGCUUGGAGAAGAAACGCUUUGAGUUUGACGGUACCACCAGAGGAAGCACCGGCUAACUCCGUGCCAGCAGCCGCGGUAAUACGGAGGGUGCGAGCGUUAUUCGGAAUUACUGGGCGUAAAGCGCGUGUAGGCGGGGAUGCAAGUCUGAUGUGAAAGCCCUGGGCUUAACCUGGGAAGUGCAUUGGAAACUGCAUUUCUUGAGUACUGGAGAGGAAGGGGGAAUUCCCGGUGUAGAGGUGAAAUUCGUAGAGAUCGGGAGGAAUACCAGUGGCGUAGGCGCCCUUCUGGACGGUUACUGACGCUGAGACGCGAAAGCGUGGGGAGCAAACAGGAUUAGAUACCCUGGUAGUCCACGCUGUAAACGAUGAUCACUAGGUGUAGCGGGUACUCAUUCCUGCUGUGCCGUAGCUAACGCGUUAAGUGAUCCGCCUGGGGAUUACGGUCGCAAGACUAAAACUCAAAGGAAUUGACGG